GAGGUGGUAGCCUGGAUCCGACGAAUAC
rnacentral:piRNA from 1 species